UCCACCCAUGCCUUCGGAACCUCUUC
rnacentral:piRNA from 1 species